GAUUGAACGUGUUAGAUUUCCACGAUGGAAGAAGAGUUCAAAGAGGGGCUGUCUCUUUAUGAGUUAAAACGUUUAAAGAGAAUUAAGGAGAACCAAACAUUAUUAGCUCAAUUGUUUCCAGAGGGCACAAAACUGAAGUCACCGGCAAAGAAGAAAUCUGAAACUAAAGUAACAAUUGUCAUAACAUUAAUUACUACAGGCUGAGAAAGCACAUGAUUCCCACUCAGGAGCACAUGCGCUCCUGACUCUUCACAUUAUAAAUAUCCUUGUAGGACAAUUAAUGGUAACAAAAAUGAAUAUUCCCCUUUGUGUACAUAUGUUGCCAUAAAGUGUCUAUGAUGUCACCUUAAUCAGACUAUUCCCCAGACUGACUCAAGCACUAUAAGAUGCUCAGGACUGUAUGGUUUGACUAGUCACUGUAGGUCAGACUAAUACAAUAUCAUGUUCAUCAUUAAAUUUUUGGUACACCUAUAUAGCAGUUUAGUUCUAGCCAAUCACAUAUGUGGGAGCAUACCUUACUCACCACACCUACCACCCACGACACUUAUGUUUGGCAGCUAACAUGGUGGUAGAGAUCAUUGCUGAAGUUUGCACUCUUAUUAACCUACCUGCUGGCAUUUAUUUAUUGUCCACUCAUAAUACCCUAUGCCUCAAAGAACACUCAGAGUAUUAUUUGUGCUGUUGGUGGGUUUGCUUUGCUACAGUAUGUUUUCGGCUUGUCUGCUUCUUUGCAUUUUAUGUUGGAUGUCUUUCUCGUCUAUUGUGUUUUUUUAUUAUUUGGAAAAGGGAGAGUCUCUCUAUUA
rnacentral:lncRNA from 1 species